rfam:Dipodomys ordii contig_30132, whole genome shotgun sequence.
GGUGGCUCAGUGGUAGAGCACUUGCCUUGCAUGCAUGAGGCCUUGGGUUCGAUUCCCCAGCACCA